UACGUAUGGUGCGAACGUUGUUCGGAAUCACUGGGCAUAAAGAGCACGUAGGCGGUCGGGCAAGUCCGGUGUGAAAUCCCCCAGCUCAACUGGGGAACUGCAUUGGAUACUACCUGACUGGAGUGCAGGAGGGGAGAGUGGAAUUCCAGGUGGAGCGGUGAAAUGCGUAGAUAUCUGGAGGAACGCCAGUGGCGAAAGCGACUCUCUGGUCUGCAACUGACGCUGAGGUGCGAAAGCUAGGGGAGCAAACGGG
rnacentral:rRNA from 1 species